AUUGCAAACUGUGCCGUUCAGGGAGCCCUCCACACCCAUCCGCGGGGCCGAGAGGGCAAGGCCGAGGCGGUGCAGCUCUCUCUGCUGUUUUACACCCCGGGGCUCCAUGGGUGCUUUCAUCAGGGAAAAACCAGCCCUCGCAAACCACGCAGCCAACCGUCCUGGGCGUGCACCCAGGCCCUGGGCUGAGUAAGGAGGAGGCAGCGGGUUAAGUUGCUGAAUGGAUGAAGGGGAAGAGAGAGCCAUGGAGAUGGGAAGAGCCAGCCCCGACGGACGGCCAGGGCGCAGGGGGGCCGGGAAGAAAACCUGGGCUGUUGUGAGGAUUAAAUAUGAUCAAGUUUUUAAGGUGCCCUCCCCAGGUGCCUGAAGGCCCUGCACAUAAUAAACGUUCAAUACUACAGUGGAAUUUGCUGGUGAGGCACCCUUGGACCAAGCAGAGGAUUUACAACAAACCAGGUCAACCAAGCACCCUCUUCCUGCUAAACCAGGCCACUACCACGUCCAGCCACUACCAGGCCCAGGGACUGGAGCGCCCCAUGGCCUCCCUUGGUUCUCCUGGCACCAGGGGAAGGGCAGCCACAGCAGAGGCCCCGCAGGGGUGCUCUGAAGACUCUUGGACCCAGCAGCGUGGGGGGGGGGGGGCGCCUCGGUCAGGCCACACAAAGACAAAGCAACACCUAACAAGCUUCUGGAAGUGUCUCUCAAAUUAAAAGGGAUCAAGUGUCUCCAGUGGGCAUAUAUUAAUUAAUUAGGUGAGAAAAAGAAGAAACAAGGUAAACUUUGAUUUGAAAACAGCAACAAAACGUGUUGGAGGUGGAAGGUGGGGGGCGUUGGGGCAGAAAAGACUAAAAGUCAAUUUUCCACCAGCCUCAUUGCAGGGGUGAAGUGGAGAACAGGGACGUUAGGGCCCCCAGAACCACUCCUGUAUACCUUGCCUAAAAAGUAAUGUUGGCAGAGGAGAGUCCAGCUGGGACCAGGAACUGCAAACCAUGGAGGGACAGUGGUCUGUAGGCUCUUAUAUAAGCGGUGGGACCCCAGGCAGGAGGGCCCCUCCCCUGCCCUGCAGGAUCGGCACCCACAGCACCCCUGCGCCUGGGAUCUUUGUCACCUCUGUCGGUCGCUGCAAGUGGCUCAUGGCCCUCCCUUUGGCCACGGCAGGAUGUGUCUUCAAAUUCAGGAUUUCAGAGCAACCCGCAAAUGCCAGGUGAGGGGGCAAGGCACCCACUGCGGAAUGAGUGCCGACAGAUGCACGCCCUUACGCUAACCCCCAGGCCUCCAGGCCUCUGCGUUGCCAAGGUCACCUUUCCUUGAAGAGCCCACCAACUGCCACCCCGGCAUCCAUCUCACGUGCGGUGGGGCGCUGGUGUUUCCUGGUAUCCCCACCCCCAGGGAUUUCUGAGCCUCCCCCUGGAGUACAAGCAUGUUCAUGGGACACCCUGGUUAUUUCCCUUGACUCAGCACCCCCAGCUGUUCGGCCACUACCUAGGGAUCCCUCCUGCCUUCCCGUAAUCUGAUUCUCCAGGCUGCUGCACCCGACAUCCCCAUGUCCCCAGGAGGGCGGCGUCUCAGCCCUGGAUGCAAGCCGUUGUCUCCAGCCUCCAGCUCAGCUAAGAUGAAGCUGGAAUUUCAACACGAUUUUAUUGAAGGUUUAGGAAUAAUGUAUGUGCACCAGGGAGAUUGACAGUUGCUGCUAGAAGCUGCCAGCCUUAAGGUCCGUGGUCCAAAGCCCUGACCUCACAAUGUCUGCCCACCUCGAGCAGGACUCCGUGUGGAGGGGAAUGGAGCCCCGGGAAUCUCUGGGAGUCUUCACACCUCACACUCCGCUCCUUUUGGCCCCAGAGAGAGAGGAGGAGACGCUCCCCUCCCUGGUAUAAGGCCUACGUCCUUUCCUGCCCAACACAUCCUUUUCCUUUGGGACAGAUCCCAGGCCCCACAGGUAUGGUCUGAGCAGCAGGGCCCAGACCUAAUGAUCAUACUGCUUCCAGGGUGAGGAAAGGCAUAUGGGAGCCACCCACGCCUGUCCACACACAGUCACCCUGGUCUGAGGGCAAUGGGGUGCAGCUCGCACACCUCAUCGGGCCUGGUUCAGCCUUGGCUUGGGGCACGUCAGGAGAUGAGAGGACACGAACAACCCAGAGCAAGAGUUUUGUAAAUCCAGAUGUUGGCUGGGGGAGUAGGAUGUAAGAGGGACCCUAAACUCCACGGGACCAGGCUCUCCUACCUUAACAGAUGCAUUCGAAACUAGACACCGGGCAUCUCAGGCUGCAGCCUCUGAGCGGGGUGCUCUUCACUCGUGUGUCAGAGAUUCCUCGACAAAAAGGCCCAGGUUCUUGCAGCCCUGCCCGAAGGCCUCAACAAAGCGUUCAAUCCCAGAACGUCCAAAGGGGAAUUCCAAUCUCCCUCCUAGACUGCUUCAAAUGUCUACAGGCCCCCAGAGGCAGUGCUUCACCUCCAGCUUUAUUUUAAAAUCCAAUCUCUACCAGACACCCCAAUAAAUACAUGCGGAAUUGAGAAACCCUUCGUCCCCUGUAGGGAGGGGAGAAGUGUUCCAAUCAAGAUUCUUUUGCUCUUCAUCAUCUGGCUCCCUCCAUCCAGGAUGCUCCUCUGGAUCCCGUCCUAUCCAUCUAUCCAUCUGUCAUCUAAGCCACCUAUCCAUCCAUUAUCCAUGCCAACCUUUGCAGAAAUAAUCACGUCUUACAUCAAAGAGUCCCACAGGCUCUGUCUGCAGUUGCUCACAGGUUAGCCUUGGACUCCUGAGCCUCCUGCGGUGGUUCCUACAGCACUAGCCAGCUCCUCUGCGCCUGUCACUUCCAUAGACUUAGUCAACAUCCAGAACUGGGGUAUUCACUUUCCUUCAAAACGUGCCUUUUGCAAAAUGCUGUGUCUUUGGUAGCUCAGCCCGUUAAGCAUCUGCUUUCAGCUCAGGUCAUGAUCCCAGGGUCCUGGGAUCGAGCCUCGUAUAAGGAUCCCUGCUCAUUGGGGAGUCUGCUUCCCCUUCUCCCUCUGCCCCUAGCCCCCCUCA